rnacentral:rRNA from 1 species
CAGCCGCCGCGGUAAUACGUAGGGUGCAAGCGUUGUCCGGAAUUAUUGGGCGUAAAGAGCUCGUAGGCGGUGUGUCGCGUCUGCCGUGAAAACCUGCGGCUUAACCGUGGGCGUGCGGUGGAUACGGGCACACUUGAGUUCGGUAGGGGAGACUGGAAUUCCUGGUGUAGCGGUGGAAUGCGCAGAUAUCAGGAGGAACACCAGUGGCGAAGGCGGGUCUCUGGGCCGAAACUGACGCUGAGGAGCGAAAGCGUGGGGAGCGAACAGGAUUAGAUACCCUGGUAGUCCACGCCGUAAACGGUGGGCGCUAGGUGUGGGAUGCUGUUCACGUGUCCCGUGCCGUAGCUAACGCAUUAAGCGCCCCGCCUGGGGAGUACGGCCGCAAGGCUAAAACUCAAAGGAAUUGACGGGGGCCCGCACAAGCGGCGGAGCAUGUGGAUUAAUUCGAUGCAACGCGAAGAACCUUACCUGGGUUUGACAUGCACUGGACCGGCGUAGAGAUACGCCUUCCCUUGUGGCUGGUGCACAGGAGGUGCAUGGCC